rnacentral:rRNA from 1 species
GACGAACGCUGGCGGCGUGCUUAACACAUGCAAGUCGAACGACGUGGCGAACGGGUGAGUAACGCGUAAUCAACCUGCCCUUCCGAGGGGGACAACAGUUGGAAACGACUGCUAAUACCGCAUACUGAGGAAGGGGAUUGCGUCUGAUUAGCUAGUUGGAGGGGUAACGGCCCACCAAGGCGAUGAUCAGUAGCCGGUCUGAGAGGAUGAACGGCCACAUGGGGACUGUGACACGGCCCAGACUCCUACGGGAGGCAGCAGUGGGGAAUCUUCCGCAAUGGAGGAAAGUCUGACGGAGCAACGCCGCGUGAGUGAUGACGGCCUUCGGGUGGUAAAGCUCUGUUAAUCGGGACGCGGUACCGGAAUAGAAAGCCACGGCUAACUACGUGCCAGCAGCCGCGGUAAUUC